AGGUUCAUCAGAGAUCUUAGUAGGCAUGGAACCAUAGGAUGAUCUAGUCUUACAAUAUAUAAAAGGCAUGGUGACUGUUCCGUUGAAAUUUGCCCAACCUAGUGAUGAGAGAUCCGUUUUUAAGGAUAGGUAUCUAAAAUCACCCCAACAUCAUGAUCCUGGGAUAAAAUUUUGAGACAAUCUUAAUCCUUGAUCUAGUAGAUAAGUAUCGGCCA
rnacentral:lncRNA from 1 species